rnacentral:rRNA from 1 species
AGUGAACGCUGGCGGCAGGCCUAACACAUGCAAGUCGAGCGGCAGCGCGGGGGCAACCCUGGCGGCGAGCGGCGGACGGGUGAGGAAUUCGUCGGAAUCUGCCUUUUUGUGGGGGAUAACGUAGGGAAACUUACGCUAAUACCGCAUACGUCCUACGGGAGAAAGUGGGGGACCGCAAGGCCUCACGCAGAAAGAUGAGCCGACGACCGAUUAGCUAGUUGGUGGGGUAAAGGCCCACCAAGGCGACGAUCGGUAGCUGGUCUGAGAGGAUGAUCAGCCACACUGGAACUGGGACACGGCCCAGACUCCUGCGGGAGGCAGCAGUGGGGAAUAUUGGACAAUGGGCGCAAGCCUGAUCCAGCCAUGCCGCGUGUGUGCAGAAGGCCUUCGGGUUGUAAAGCACUUUUGUCCGGAAAGAAAUCCCUGGAGCUAAUACCUUCGGGGGAUGACGUUACCGGAAGAAUAAGCACCGGCUAACUUCGUG